AGAGUUUGAUCAUGGCUCAGAACGUACGCUGGCGGCACGCCUAACACAUGCAAGUCGAACGCAGUAGCAAUACUGAGUGGCAGACGGGUGAGUAUAAUGUGGGAAUCUGCCUUUUGGUUCGGAAUAACUCGGGGAAACUUGAGCUAAUACCGGAUAAGCCCUUACGGGGAAAGAUUUAUCGCCGAAAGAUGAGCCCGCACUUGAUUAGCUAGUUGGUGAGGUAAUUGCUCACCAAGGCAACAAUCAAUAGCUGUUCUUAGAGGAAGACCAGCCACAUUGGGACUGAGACACGGCCCAGACUCCUACGGGAGGCAGCAGUGGGGAAUCUUGCACAAUGGGGGAAACCCUGAUGCAGCGAUGCCGCGUGAGUGAAGAAGGCCUUUGGGUUGUAAAACUCUUUCGUCGGGGAAGAAAAUGACUGUACCCGAAUAAGAAGGUCCGGCUAACUUCGUGCCAGCAGCCGCGGUAAUACGAAGGGACCUAGCGUAGUUCGGAAUUACUGGGCUUAAAGAGCUCGUAGGUGGUUAAAAAAGUUGGUGGUGAAAUCCCAAGGCUUAACCUUGGAACUGCCAUCAAAACUUUUUAGCUUGAGUGUGAUAGAGGAAAGUGGAAUUUCUAGUGUAGAGGUGAAAUUCGUAGAUAUUAGAAAGAACACCAAAUGCGAAGGCAACUUUCUGGAUCACUACUGACACUGAGGAGCGAAAGCAUGGGUAGCGAAGAGGAUUAGAUACCCUCGUAGUCCAUGCUGUAAACGAUGUGUGCUAGACGUUGGAAAUUUUAUUUUCAGUGUCGCAGCAAAAGCGUUAAGCACACCGCCUGGGGAGUACGACCGCAAGGUUAAAACUCAAAUGAAUUGACGGGGACCCGCACAAGCAGUGGAGCAUGUGG
rnacentral:rRNA from 1 species